rnacentral:rRNA from 1 species
UACAGAGGUCUCAAGCGUUGUUCGGAUUCAUUGGGCGUAAAGGGUGCGUAGGCGGCGCGGUAGGUCGGGUGUGAAAUCUCGGAGCUUAACUUCGAAACUGCAUUCGAUACUGCCGUGCUUGAGGACCGGAGAGGAGACUGGAAUUUACGGUGUAGCGGUGAAAUGCGUAGAUAUCGUAAGGAAGACCAGUGGCGAAGGCGGGUCUCUGGACAGUUCCUGACGCUGAGGCACGAAGGCCAGGGGAGCAAACGGG